CCCCGCCCCCUGGCAACGGCCCGGGGGGCGGUGCCGGCUCUCUCCCCGUAGCGACAGGCCCCGCCCCCUGGCAACGGCCCGAGCCUGUGUUUGCUCCGCUCGGGGGGGGGGCUCGGUUUGGGUGUUUUCUCUCCCCCCCCCCUCCCGCGCCGGGAACUCCAGGCGGCUCCCGUACGGCUCCCGGGGCCUUCCCCCCUCGGGGGGCUCGGCCCGCCCCUUUCGCGGGGCGCUGUGGGAAGGGCGGGGGCGGGGCCCGGGGGUCGAAGAGCCCCAGCCGGGGCUCGGGCAGCUCUCGCUGCCCCCGGGCUCCUCUGGCGCCGGGGCUCCCGUGUUCCCUCGGGCGGUCGCAGCUCUGGGGCUGUCUCAGCCCCCCGGGCAGGCGUGCUCUGGCGUUUAGAGAAGCGGAGGCGUUGCCUGAGGUUGUUGGCUCGGCCCCAACAGCGUACAGGCUGCUGAGGUCACCGCCUCCACGCGGGACGCAGGCGGCCCGGAGAGCUUUACCCUGCGCCAUUUCCGUCCCCUCUGGGCAGCAGCGGAUCCGCUGCCGCUUCAGGCGGCCGCUUUCUCGAGGGCGAGGAGCUGGGACGACAACGGGCCGCUGCAGACUCUGGUCAGGGGCAACUUCUGUUCCCGAGGUGGUGCCUACAGUACAGCUAUCUCUUCGAAGGCAGUUUGGUUUAGGUCAGAGAAUGUUUAGCCUGGACUGAAUCAGCCUCUGUUUCUAUUUCUGGAAAUCAUCGGUCCUGUGCAUCAAGCCCGGAAAAAAGGAAAUAUGAACCAAAGGACGUGGGGCCUGCAGGGCUAGGAAAAUAUUUGAGAAGAGGUUCAGUGGGGAAAUGACUGUUUGUCUGUGGGGCGUCCAGGCAAGCAACCCAGCUGCUAGAAAGCGGCGCUGUCC